CCUCCCCAAAAACAUGAGACACUCCAGAAACCAAAUGUGUGGUAGACCUCUGCUGGAGGCAGUACUGUGAGGGAUUAUGGGGCUACGAUAUGGCUUCUAAUAUAAAAACAAAUGAAAGACUUAUACUUGAAAUUUUGCCAAGGAAAACAACUUUAUGAGCUUCUAUUACUCUCCAUUCCUAAAGAAGGAAUGACAGCUCCACUGAUAGCACCUCUAAAGUGAACAGCAGGUGUAUGGUCACAGUGCCCAGCAGGAAUGGCUUAGAAUUGGGCUGACUUCAAUUUGGGAGCUGUUUUGCUGAACACUGACCCCAAGCAAGUUUCAUCCCUCCUCCCCUCCUGCCUGAUUUUACAAGAUAGAUGAACACAGUCCAUUCUGCUGGAACUGGCUGCUCUUUGCAAGUAGAUGAAGUGAAGAUUUAUUAUCAUUAGAACACAUGGAAAUUGGAAAAUGGACUAAUGGAAACCAUUAAUGUCCUCCUCUCAACAAUCAGAUGAAUGGUGGAUCAAUGCAGUAUAUUAAUGGAUUGGAAAUGAUUUAAGACAAUAUAAACAUUAAGUCCCAGAUAUUAGAUGGGAAGAAAGCAAGCAAGACUAAGAUAUUACUCUAUUAUAUAUAUACGAAAAAAAUAAAAUACCAUCCUCUAAGAUGUAUUUCCUGUCCAGCAUUUUGAUUUCUUUGCAGAGGUAAUAUUGAAAAACUGUACUGUAUCUUUCCAUAUUACCACCUAACAUUGAAAUGAAUGUCUUUCCACUUACAAAAGCAAAUAAUAUUGUAAGCCUGUAACAACAAAUAAAUUCUGUGUCACGUAUUCUGC